GUAGGUGGCAAGCGCUGUCCGGAAUUAUUGGGCGUAAAGCGCGCGCAGGCGGUCCUUUAAGUCUGAUGUGAAAGCCCACGGCUCAACCGUGGAGGGUCAUUGGAAACUGGGGGACUUGAGUACAGAAGAGGAAAGCGGAAUUCCACGUGUAGCGGUGAAAUGCGUAGAGAUGUGGAGGAACACCAGUGGCGAAGGCGGCUUUCUGGUCUGUAACUGACGCUGAGGCGCGAAAGCGUGGGGAGCAAACAGGGAUUAGAUACCCUGGUAGUCCACGCCGUAAACGAUGAGUGCUAAGUGUUAGGGGGUUUCCGCCCCCUUAGUGCUGCAGCUAACGCAUUAAGCACUCCGCCUGGGGAGUACGGCCGCAAGGCUG
rnacentral:rRNA from 1 species